GCCUACGGGGGCAGCAGUGAGGAAUAUUGGUCAAUGGCCGAGAGGCUGAACCAGCCAAGCCGCGUGAGGGAAGACGGCCCUACGGGUUGUAAACCUCUUUUGUCGGGGAACAAAGGCGUCCACGGGUGGGCGGAUGAGUCUACCCGAAGAAAAAGCAUCGGCUAACUCCGUGCCAGCAGCCGCGGUAAUACGGAGGAUGCGAGCGUUAUCCGGAUUUAUUGGGUUUAAAGGGUGCGUAGGCGGACAGUCAAGUCAGCGGUAAAAAUGCGGUGCUCAACGCCGUACAGCCGUUGAAACUGGCAGUC
rnacentral:rRNA from 1 species